rnacentral:misc_RNA from 1 species
CUGAGUCAGUAUAUGCGCAAUAUGUACUUUAUUAGGUUCACAGAGAUAAUUUCAAUUUUAUUAAAUUUCAGAUAUUUCUUAGCAUAAGGAGAAAAGGUUCACAAAAUUUACUUAGAACAAUGGGACUUGUGAUUGCACAACAUUUUCUUCUGUAGUUGGUUUACAAUUGAUGCAACAACAUAGAGCUACAAAAGCAGUAACAUAAUAGCCAGCACAAUCAACAACGUCAAAAAGCUGAGCUUAUUAAAUGGUUUUUUUUUUUCAUUUUUAGAUUCAUGUCAAUUGAACUUCCAAGGUCUCUUA